UACAGAGGGUGCGAGCGUUGUCCGGAAUCACUGGGCGUAAAGGGCGCGUAGGCGGUCUCUUAAGCGUGUGGUGAAAGCCCGGGGCUCAACUCCGGGUCGGCCGUGCGAACUGGGGGACUGGAGCUUGUCAGAGGCAGGCGGAAUUCCGGGUGUAGCGGUGGAAUGCGUAGAGAUCCGGAAGAACACCGGUGGCGAAGGCGGCCCCCUGGACAAAGACUGACGCUCAGGUGCGAAAGCGUGGGGAGCAAACAGG
rnacentral:rRNA from 1 species